AAUUGACAAUUAUUUGCGAUACAUCUAAAUAGUUUUUAUGAAACAUUUGUUAUGCUGGUUUUGCUAAGGUGAAAGGUAAUGCCAUAAUCCUCAUACAAUUUUAGAUAGUCAUUAAGGGAGAUACAAAGAAGUCAUUUUCUGUCUAUCGAAUUUGUCAUGAGAUCGUGCCAUUCUUAUCUUGGCAAGGAGUACAUUUGGACAUAACAUACCAAUUUAUUGCAAUCACGUCGCCCAUAUGAAUCAAGGUUGAAUUGACUUCACUCUUCUCACGGUAGGCAGGAUCGAAGCAAGGUUUUUCUUUGAUCAUGGAGACGAAAAUGUAUAGACUUUGGAACCAUGCAGUGCGGAACAGGAAGUGAUUGUCGGAUGUGGAACUAUUUCAAUGUUCGGAUGCAAAUGAGAUUCAUAAAACGGAAUUGGAUGGAAAAACUUCAUAUAGGGCGGUCAGAUAUAUUGAAUUAAUAUGGAAAUUUUUUGAUUACUACUUAUAUAUAUAUGUAGACCAGUGUUGUGAUAAGAGAAAAUCCCUUGCGCAGAGGUAUUUUGAAAUA